UACGGAGGGUGCAAGCGUUAUCCGGAUUCACUGGGUUUAAAGGGCGCGUAGGCGGCCUGUUAAGUCGAACGUGAAAUCCCCGGGCUCAACCCGGGAACUGCGUCCGAUACUGGCAGGCUUGAAUCCGGGAGAGGGAUGCGGAAUUCCAGGUGUAGCGGUGAAAUGCGUAGAUAUCUGGAGGAACACCGGUGGCGAAGGCGGCAUCCUGGACCGGCAUUGACGCUGAGGCGCGAAAGCUAGGGGAGCAAACGGG
rnacentral:rRNA from 1 species